rnacentral:rRNA from 1 species
AGAGUUUGAUCNGGCUCAGAACGAACGCUGGCGGCGCGCCUAAUACAUGCAAGUCGAGCGAGAAGGUGUAGCAAUACACUUGUAAAGCGGCGAACGGGUGAGGAAUGCAUGGGUAACCUACCCUCGAGUGGGGAAUAACUAGCCGAAAGGUUAGCUAAUACCGCAUACGUUUCCGGAACUUCGGUUUCGGAAAGAAAGCAAUACCGUGGGUAUUGCGCUCCUGGAUGGGCUCAUGUCCUAUCAGCUUGUUGGUGAGGUAACGGCUCACCAAGGCUUCGACGGGUAGCUGGUCUGAGAGGACGAUCAGCCACACUGGCACUGCGACACGGGCCAGACUCCUACGGGAGGCAGCAGUAAGGAAUAUUGCGCAAUGGACGAAAGUCUGACGCAGCGACGCCGCGUGGGGGAUGAAGGUCUUCGGAUUGUAAACCCCUUUCGGGAGGGAAGAUGGAGUGGGUAACCACUUGGACGGUACCUCCAGAAGCAGCCACGGCUAACUUCGUGCCAGCAGCCGCGGUAAUACGAAGGUGGCAAGCGUUGUUCGGAUUCACUGGGCGUACAGGGAGCGUAGGCGGUUGGGUAAGCCCUCCGUGAAAUCUCCGGGCCUAACCCGGAAAGUGCAGAGGGGACUGCUCAGCUAGAGGAUGGGAGAGGAGCGCGGAAUUCCCGGUGUAGCGGUGAAAUGCGUAGAGAUCGGGAGGAAGGCCGGUGGCGAAGGCGGCGCUCUGGAACAUUUCUGACGCUGAGGCUCGAAAGCGUGGGGAGCAAACAGGAUUAGAUACCCUGGUAGUCC